CCUACGGGACGCAGCAGUGGGGAAUAUUGCACAAUGGGGGAAACCCUGAUGCAGCAACGCCGCGUGAAGGAAGACGGUUUUCGGAUUGUAAACUUCUAUCAAUAGGGAAGAAAGAAAUGACGGUACCUAAAUAAGAAGCCCCGGCUAACUACGUGCCAGCAGCCGCGGUAAUACGUAGGUGGCAAGCGUUGUCCGGAAUUACUGGGUGUAAAGGGAGCGCAGGCGGGAAGCCAAGUCAGCUGUGAAAACUACGGGCUUAACUUGUAGACUGCAGUUGAAACUGGUUUUCUUGAGUGAAGUAGAGG
rnacentral:rRNA from 1 species